AUUGAACGCUGGCGACAUGCCUUACACAUGCAAGUCGAACGGCAGCACGGGUGCUUGCACCUGGUGGCGAGUGGCGAACGGGUGAGUAAUACAUCGGAACAUGUCCUGUAGUGGGGGAUAGCCCGGCGAAAGCCGGAUUAAUACCGCAUACGAUCUACGGAUGAAAGCGGGGGACUUUCGGGCCUCGCGCUAUAGGGUUGGCCGAUGGCUGAUUAGCUAGUUGGUGGGGUAAAGGCCUACCAAGGCGACGAUCAGUAGCUGGUCUGAGAGGACGACCAGUCACACUGGGACUGAGACACGGCCCAGACUCCUACGGGAGGCAGCAGUGGGGAAUUUUGGACAAUGGGCGAAAGCCUGAUCCAGCAAUGCCGCGUGUGUGAAGAAGGCCUUCGGGUUGUAAAGCACUUUUGUCCGGAAAGAAAUCCUUGGCCCUAAUACGGUCGGGGGAUGACGGUACCGGAAGAAUAAGCACCGGCUAACUACGUG
rnacentral:rRNA from 1 species